rnacentral:lncRNA from 1 species
UGGCCAUGAAUGAACAAAAGGAGAAAAUUACAGAAAAAGGAAUUCUUUCAAUGACAACAAGGGAACACCAUAAAGGGCAAGAAGAAGUGAGCAGGCUGAUUGAUGAAUUGCAGACAGCUAUCAAAAGCAACAGAGGUCAUCUCUCUAAACUUGGCCCCCAAUUACAGGCUGAGCAGGAGCAAUUCUCUUCUUAUGUCUACCAACACAUUAAAAGCCUUCCAGCAAACACGCUUGUCCCAGGAGGCCUACAGCUCAAGGUAUUUGAAAAUGGUAAAAACACUGGAGAGAUCUCUGUUUGUAUCAGUAAAAAAGAUUUGGGAUCUGAUAGCCCAAUUCA